rnacentral:lncRNA from 1 species
GUGCAAACAUAGGAAACUGUUCUAUAUUGUAUCAGAACUUCUAGCUUGGUACAGUUGAUGGUGACUGACUGUAGCUCUCUCCAGGGUUUCAGGGAAAGGUUUUCCCAGCCUACCUGGGGAUGCUGCUGGGGAUUGAACCUGGGACCUUCUGCAUGCCAAGCAGCUGCACUUAACACUGAUCUACACCCUCCCUUCAAGCCAUGCCACCUAAUACAGUCAAAUCAACAACAUACAAUUUCCAGAAGUUGUUUUUUUUGUUUUUUUUUAAAACAGGCUCUCUCUCCCCACCAGGCAACUGCUCAUUCUAUACACAUUAUUUUGCUGUGGUGUUUCCUUUUGCGCAUAAGAUGCCAUGGCAGCAGACAUAGAAAUUGUCACUGUUCAAAACUUCCAUUUUUUCCUCUAGAUUGUUUUGAGCAUGACCUAAUGUUGGGACUCAAUGUAUUUAUUUUUUAGGGCACGUGCAAAGAGGGGUUGCAAAGAGGAGGCUGCUUCACCAGGAAAUACCAAUUUAACACUAUUACAGUUCAGUAGGAACCAGAUAUGUGGGGAAAACGAAAGGAGUUUCUGGAAGAGGAUUGGGUAAAACAACAGGCCCAGGAAGACUUGAGCCUCAGUUCUGGGUCUGCGAGAAUUCCCACACUCCAGCUAGCUGUAUUUUCCAAAAAAGGGUGCUGCUGCAGUAAGCCAACACUGCUUAAUAAGGAACAUGUGCAUGCCAGGUGCGCAGUUACGUUAUAAAACAUGGCCAUGGAUGCUAUUUAUUUAUAACACUGUUCCUAGGAACAGAGUGUGGAAAGGUGCAGCUCAGUGGUAAGAGUACUUGCUCCGCAUGCAGAAAGUCCCGGGUUCAGUCCCUGGCAUCUCCUGGUAUGGCUAGAAAUGUCCUGUGUCUGAAACUCUGGAGACUUGCUGCCAGUAUGUGUAGGCAAUACUGAACUAGGUGGCCAAUCAUCUGACUCAGAAUGUGGCAGCUUCUCACACCCUCAUUCUAAAAGCUUCAAGUGAGUCCCCAGCUGGAGUGGUAAUUUGAUAACAAAUUGUUCUUGUUGUAGAAAGACAAUUAGUGACCCACCACACUCAUUUAGGAAGUCUACCUGUAAUAGCUAACAGGCUCCCCUUACAAAGACAACGGCUUCUGAUUUUUGGAGAUGGGCAAUGCUGACGAGAUCCUUCUUUGUUGCCUUCAAUGUGUGAGCAAACUGUACGUUACCUGUCUGUGGCUGUAGGUAUGUGCUGGCAUGGAAACAGUGGGCGAAUGGCUGCCACUCAGUGACAGAGCAUCUGCUUUGGUUGCAAAAUCCUAGGCUCAAGCAGCAGCAUCUCAGUCACCAGCAACUAGGAGAUACCUAGCUGAAACCCUGCAAAACUAGGGACUUCAGUAGAAGGCAAAUCCCUAUGUUCCUAGUGCAAAAAUGCAGGACAUUACUCCUGAAGAAUGCACUUCCUAUUUGGUGAACACAGAUAUACUGAUCUUCUACAGGCAAAAUGGAAUGGCAGACUCUUUCUAAGCCAGGCCCAAACGCAUUUGAGGAGGAUGGAGUAGAUGUUAUUUGCACAUAAGGGGUAAAGUUGCCAGGAAGAGCUGCAGCCUAAGCAAACACACUGUUCUCUUAAAACUGAAGCACCUUUUGUUUUCAGUGUUCCUGAAUGCUUAUCUUUGGAACACAGUGGCCAAAAACGUCCCCUUUCAUGCUGAUUGGGUGGCUUGAAGGAUGCUGGAGAUAGUGACCCAGCUGCAGAAAUAGUAAGGGGUCUUUGACCCUCUGUGACCUCAGACCACUACACCACUGAGGUACAGGAUCGGUUUCAGCCAAGUAGCAGACUUGGGUAGACUUGUUGCUGGGUGUAAAGCUCAGCUGAGUCAGUGCCAGACUUUAGCCCAAGAGUGGGGGACCUUAUUGAGGCUGAAAAGUUUUCUGAGGGCCACAGGGCAGUAGUGGACGUGGUCAGAGGCAAAAGUGUGUGGAGCAAUGAAUGUCAAUUUUGCCUUUCUGCCAUUGGCUAGAUUCUGCUCUAUCAUUCAUCUGGACAAGCAAGAGGCAUUACUCAAGUUCAAGGACACAUUCUAGCCAAGCAAUAAUAAUCUAGGUGGAAAGCAGGGGCACCGAGGGUUCUUGGCCCUGGGGAGAGAGCUAAAGGCCAGAGGCAAAGGCCUACAUUUUGCCUGAGGUUCCCCACCCAUUCAGCCCACUGAACUGUUCAACAUCCACCGGUAAGUUGAGAUAACUAAUGGCAGCUUAAUUCCUCUCUAGAAGCGGCGAUGAAGUACUGAAGGCCUCUCUCUCCUAAAGCAGGGAGGGGGAAAUCUUAGGAAACAGAGCAAGGAUGUUCCCCAGGAAGGAUGACAAGAUUUAUCCACAGCACAGGAGGAAAUGUAGUUAUUUACCCGAAUGCUGCAUGUGUGCAUGAGGGGUGGGGGUGGGGUGGGGGAGGCAAAUGAGCCAUUUUACUUUCCAGGAAAGCCUUAUGCAGAUGACGAAAAGUAGCAGAACCUUAUUUUGUAGGGCCAGUGGGGAUAUAUAUUUUAAUUACGUGUAUAGAAAGAAAAAAGUCUUACCUCAGAGUUAAGCGAUGGGAAAAGUCCUCCAUGAAGGCUUUUUUUCAGACAGGGUAACUUCCCAACUGUGUUCACGUCUCACUCGGAAGUUAACACAUUUAACCCAGAUGGAGCAAGGAAACCGCUGCACAAAUUUGGAGGGACGUCAUCCUGCCUCUGCGCCGCAUCCUGGACUGUAGCAACGCGCGUUGACUGGUGAAAUUGUCCCCACCGUCGGUUUGGGCACAAUGGAGGCCUAGAUGGGGGUAGGGGGAAGGCAACCUAGUGCUACCCCAUCAGAGGGUGCAAGCUUUCACAUCACACAACCCUCCCUCUAGUAGCCACAUGCGUCAUGUUGCUGCACAGUUGAGACUGCACCAGGUAACUGAACGUCCUUUGGCUUUUAAAAAACUGGAUGGUUAAACCAAAUUGAGGGUUGGGGGGAGGGAGAAGAAUACUACUAAAUCCAGCAGAGACAGUGAAAAGCAAAUCCAGUUCCACACAAACACACACAUAUAUAUACAUAUAAAUAUUAUAUAUAUAUACAUACAUAUAUAUAUAUAUAUAGCAUUCCUUUAAAAAGGAAUCUAGACACUGUAAUGGCAAUACUUUUUUUAAAGCAAGACAGAUUUGUAAUAUUUGUUGACCGUAUGACGGUGGUCUACCUUGUAAAAAAUAAACUGAAUUUCUCUCAGCUGUGUACUUCUGUAACACAAGCCUUUGUGAACCUUGCAUGUCGCUAAAGCUAUUGUCAUUCAUGAAAACUUUACUGUGUCAACUGGGAAAAACUGAUUUGAGCCUCCCUUCUUCCUAGUGUUCUGGAACUGGGAACAGUUAUGUUUAAAAGCAAGUGAG